GAUGAAGAACGUAGCGAAAUGCGAUAAGUAGUGUGAAUUGCAGAAUUCAGUGAAUCAUCGAAUCUUUGAACGCACAUUGCGCCCCUUGGUAUUCCAUGGGGCAUGCCUGUUCGAGCGUCAUUUGUACCUUCAAGCCUUGCUUGGUGUUGGGUGUUUGUCCUGAGGGACUCGCCUUAAAGUAAUUGGCAGCCAGUGUUUGGUUUUGAAGCGCAGCACAAGUCGCGAUUCAAGGCUAUACACCAGCUUCCACAAGCCUUUUUCACUUUUGACCUCGGAUCAGGUAGGGAUACCCGCUGAACUUAAGCAUAUCAAUAAGCGGAGGA
rnacentral:misc_RNA from 1 species